rnacentral:lncRNA from 1 species
AUAAUUAGCACAAGGUUUGAAAAUAUGUCUCCUUUGGCUAAUGUCUCCAGGGUAAUCAGAGCUGCGGACUGAUGGAGUGGAAAGAGUGCUGGGCAGAGGGCCAGAGUCUCAGAGUUCAAGCUUGUUGCUGUAACAUUCGCCAGCUCUGCAUCCUCAGCAAAGAAAUUGCCCGAGUCUUGGAAUCUCUGGAUGACGGACAUGGCCAAUGCUCCUGGCUUCACAUGAAGACGAAAUCAGACCUUAAAUUUUCAUUCGGCAUUCUGUCUGCAGGUUCCUG